rnacentral:rRNA from 1 species
GAUAAACGCUGGCGGCGCGCCUAACACAUGCAAGUCGAACGAGCGAGAGAGAGCUUGCUUUCUCGAGCGAGUGGCGAACGGGUGAGUAACGCGUGAGGAACCUGCCUCAAAGAGGGGGACAACAGUUGGAAACGACUGCUAAUACCGCAUAAGCCCACGGCUCGGCAUCGAGCAGAGGGAAAAGGAGCAAUCCGCUUUGAGAUGGCCUCGCGUCCGAUUAGCUAGUUGGUGAGGUAACGGCCCACCAAGGCGACGAUCAGUAGCCGGCCUGAGAGGGCGACCGGCCACAUUGGGACUGAGACACGGCCCAAACUCCUACGGGAGGCAGCAGUGGGGAAUAUUGCACAAUGGGGGAAACCCUGAUGCAGCGACGCCGCGUGAAGGAAGAAGUAUUUCGGUAUGUAAACUUCUAUCAGCAGGGAAGAAAAUGACGGUACCUGACUAAGAAGCCCCGGCUAACUACGUG